UACGUAGGUGGCAAGCGUUAUCCGGAAUUAUUGGGCGUAAAGAGUAUGUAGGCGGUUUAUUAAGUUUGGUGUGAAAGCUAGUGGCCUAACCACUAAAUUGCAUUGAAAACUGGUAAACUAGAAUACUGGAGAGGUAAGUGGAAUUCCAUGUGUAGCGGUGGAAUGCGUAGAUAUAUGGAGGAACACCAAUGGCGAAGGCAGCUUACUGGACAGUAAUUGACGCUGAGAUACGAAAGCGUGGGUAGCAAACAGG
rnacentral:rRNA from 1 species